GAGACUUUACUCCAUAGCGUAGAUACUUCAGUCUUAUUUCUGCACUGUGUUGCUGUCAGUGUGUAAGAUUUGCACGGAGACAAUCCACAUGUCACUGUCAUAAACUAGAUGUCAGCGAUCACAAGAGUCGGAAUGUGAGCUACAAAUGAGAGGUCACUUAGCACAGAGGGACGUACAAGGGAACGUGGAUGGAGUCAGCUCUCGCUCUGCAGUGUUUGCACAAAGUAAGGAAGCGGUGGACGGAUUGCUGGGAAGAAGAAAAUCAGAUUAAAUAAUUAGUGUCAAUUAGCUCCAGCAAAAUCAUUCUCCAAACAAUUGGUCUCAAGUGCCCUGCUUAAUUAUGUGAGACUUUCAUUGCUUCUUAUCAAGGCUGCUUUGAUUCAUGUUUGACUCUUGAAGCUCCCGGAGGUGCAAUUAAUUAUUGUCUACUAA